rnacentral:rRNA from 1 species
GACGAACGCUGGCGGCGUGCUUAACACAUGCAAGUCGAACGGUAAGGCCCUUCGGGGUACACGAGUGGCGAACGGGUGAGUAACACGUGGGUGAUCUGCCCUGCACUUCGGGAUAAGCCUGGGAAACUGGGUCUAAUACCGGAUAGGACUCCGGACUGCAUGGUCUGGGGUGGAAAGCUUUUGCGGUGUGGGAGGGGCCCGCGGCCUAUCAGCUUGUUGGUGGGGUGAUGGCCUACCAAGGCGACGACGGAUAGCCGGCCUGAGAGGGUGACCGGCCACACUGGGACUGAGAUACGGCCCAGACUCCUACGGGAGGCAGCAGUGGGGAAUAUUGCACAAUGGGCGCAAGCCUGAUGCAGCGACGCCGCGUGAGGGAUGACGGCCUUCGGGUUGUAAACCUCUUUCAGCAUCGACGAAGCGAAAGUGACGGUAGGUGCAGAAGAAGGACCGGCCAACUACGUGCCAGCAGCCGCCGCAG